rnacentral:tRNA from 2 species
GCCCUUGUAGCUCAGUUGGUAGAGCACCUGAUUUGUAAUCAGGGGGUCGCGGGUUCGAACCUGCCGGGGGCACCA